ensembl:lncRNA
CCACGAGCGCUUUGAGAUGCCGGUGUGCAAGGACAUCUCGGGCUCUCUAAGCACCAAAUUUGUGAUCUUGCAUAUGAACACAAGCCAUUGCCUCCUGUUGUUAAUAUUUCACACUUGGCUUUGCAAGAUGUUUUAUCUAAUAUCCUCUCUGCAUUCAGGCUUCAACCAAUCCUGCCUUGUCCACAACAGGAGAGGCUGGAGGAGGAAGGCAAUUGCCAAGCACGUCUGUAAUCUACGUAGGAGGGUUUUGUGUAGCUGUAGGGGGAGAAGACCACGGAAGCUCAGUGCCAGCUGUCGGCUUCACCCAGCCAGCAGUGGGCCUCACCUCCACGGUGCCAGGAAAACAAACUGAAAGGAAGGGUCGCAAUUCAGUCUGCGGACAGACAGAGAAGAGAGAUUCAGCUGCAGUGCCUAAGCCGAUAAUCUUCUUGGAAGCACCCUCAGACAGCAGGGCCUGGUACUUCAGCUCCUCCAAGAACAAAACCUCUACAAAUCCUUCAUCCCAAAAAACGUUUUGAGGUUUUCAACUUACGUUAAAGCCCUACCUGAAUACCGCAAGAACAGAACCUUUCAUUGCGCGAUGUCCGUGUGCCCAAGAAGGCUGUGCCCGGCACACUGCUGCCUUGCUCCUGCUGAGCCUGAGUUUUUGGGGGCGGGAGGGGAAGCGCUCAAGGAAAAGGAGUAGUAGAAAUAUACUUUUGACUGUGGAAAAAAAUAGCACCUUCGGUUCUCGUUUCCUAAGGCUCC